GAGACUGUAAAAUGAUUUUAAAGCUAUUGCUAAUAUUUUAAUAAUUUCUUUUUAAUUUUGUUCAUAUGUUUAUUCCAUAUAUUAUAAUAGCCUUUUGCUAUAGCUGAUAAAAUUUAUGAUAAUGACUGCUUCUCUGCCCUGCAUCUUUUCUGCCUCCAUUUAUCUUUGUGCCUUAGAAGGCCCUCUGUGUGGAGGUAGGUGCAUAGCUGAUUAACACACAGUCAGUGGCAUGAUUAACACAAUGACAAUGGCUUCUCAAUCUGUUGCAGCCUUCUUCCGUCUUCACAGCCACUGUAACAUGUACCAUAUUAUCUUCUGCCUGAUCCGCCGUUGAGGUCUUCAGAUUGUGUAUGGUUUGGAACAUCCCCUGCAAGUGAAUGACUCCGGUAGUUAUGCCCACAGGUUCAUUGGAACAUGCAAGCCCCCUCACCACGACAAGGUGGCAAUCCAUCGAGGGGGUGUAUUAACCAACAAUGCUGUAUUUUACAUGCUGUAUUAUUGCUAUGUCUUAAUCAACAAUAGCAAUAAUACAACAUGUAGAGUCAUAAAUUGUGCUUCCUUAUAACUUAACUACUUGGCAACAACAAGCUUUCCAACUCAGAUUCAGAUCUUUGUGCUCAAAUCAAUAUAGUGAGGAUGAUGUGCCUGGGAGCACCAACAUUGUUCAAUCUUCCUAUAUUCUCCUAGGAGCUCUUAUACAAUUUGUGUUAUCUGUACAAGAACUCACAGUCAUAAACAAAAAUUACAUUACAUUCACACCAACAAAAUUAAAUUAAACAUUGAACAUGCACAGAACCCCAUUUUACACUGCAAGUUAGAGAAAAGCUUCUGUAAUAGACACAGGUUUACUUAUUGACCAUAUUUAUACUCUGGGCCAAUAUAUAAAUCACUGGGACAUCACUAGAAACCAAAUAUCUAUUCAAUCUACCCAUUCAAAGAAAAGCAGUUUUAUUGCAUUGACACCGAUGUGAACCACGCAGGACUGAUCUUUCUCUCUACAAAAAUGGGCAAAAAGCAGCAUAUGGUUUUGCUUUCUUCUAAAUGUUUUCUCAUAUGUCUAGUUAGGUGAUCUAGUUGAAAAUGAAGGGUUCACUGAAAACACAAAAAUAAAUGUAGUGUGGCUAGUUUUGCUCAAGGAGGAAUUUCUCAGUUUGACUAGAAUCUUACUAGAUUGCUUUUCUUUUGAGUAUCUGUUAUCAUUUCAGAGACUUUAGAGACUAUAAGCAUGUAAGCACACUAUAAAGAUAAACCAGUGAAGAGUGGAUUUCAUCCACAUGAACCAAAUAAGUAUGAAAGUGCAAAGGGAAUUAUUUUGGAAAAUGUAAUAGGAAGGGGAAAGAUAAAAUACAUGUUUACACAUACAGAAAGAAAAUAAUGACAACUCUCAACUACUGUAUAAGAAAACCCAGCAUGGCCUCCCAGCAUACAUACAGAUGAAUGUUUGAAUUAAAAGCCGAAAAUCAUUCCAGAAAUAUAGCAAGAGGUAGAAUUUUUGCCAGAAAAAUAGCAUGGACUACACUCGGUUGAAUUCAUGGGCUUUUGGGUUGGCUUGUUCUUGCAUGUACAAUCAAAAGCCACUGAAAGAAUGGGAUAGGGAUACAUAGUUAUUUUUUGUCUACAUAAUAGUAGCUUACUAACUUAUUAACAUACUAACAGAUUAAAUUAUUUUUUAGAUUUCUUAGAUAAUAAUUAAAAUUAGAUAAAGAUUUAAAAUAAAAUACCUGACAAGAAUAAUGAGUGAUAUUAGAACAACAAUAUACAGAAUACUAUGAGGUAUGUGGAUUUGACAUAUUUACUCACCUGGAGGAAUAUAUAUAUUAGUGAGUCUCAAAACCAUCAAAUGUUACAAGUCCUGUAAUGUUAAGAAGUCUUCCUAUUUUCAGCUGGAAAAUUGUAUUUGUGGUCUAGCUCUUUUGGAGUGGCAUGUUGUAACCCUUUCCUUCUUUGUUUUAUGGGAUUUUAGGUUUCAUCAAAGUGAUACAUGCUAUUACACUACGCUUUGUUACUUCAAUGUUCUAUGUCCAUCAGAUGAUCACAUCACCCUAAUUCAUUAGGUAGUAUGCUAGUAAGCAAUGCUGCUCUUUAGUGCGUAUGUGGAAAAUAUGCAAUAUAGAUAUAUAGCGAGAGAUACCUGAUUUUUUUUUAAAAAAAACCCUCUUCUUGGUAGCAUAGCUAUGGAGACUAUCAUACACUUGAGAGGUAUGUAUAGUGUCAUUGUGGUAGUGCAGAUGUAAAUUAAUUACAAAUCCAUUUUUCGCUAUCUACCUGUGUCACUUCCUUGUCAAUUCUAUGGCUAUCUUACCCUCAAUAUGGGCUGUAAUAAGUUCAGGCUCACAUCUUCUUAGGUAAGCUGCAAUUGUCAAAAACAUUAAAUGUACUCCUGUCUUUUAAAUCACAAGAGGGAAAUACUGGCUGCAGAGAGCACUUGUUUCAAUGAGCUCUUCAAUUUAAAGGUAACAGUGCAGAAGCUGACCAUUUGCAGAGGAGACUUUGUUAGCUGAGGCAAGGCAUGUCACUCAAAUGAGCUUAGCUGAGACAGUAAGGCUUUUGCAGCCAGAAUGUCUAAGGUCUGUGCACUGGAUUGUAAGGUCAGUUGACCUCACUCAGGCUGUGGAAUCAACUGGCAGAGUUCAAGCCAAUACUGCAGCACCUUGAGGUCACCUUUACUCUAGGGUCUGCUCUGGCUGUCCAGCUGAAAAUGGGAAGACUUCCUAAUGAUCUAGUACAAGACCAACUUAUAGGGGCCUCAUAUAUGUAUGUAUGUAUGUGUGUGUGUGUGUGUGUGUGUGUGUGUGUGUGUAUAUAUAUAUAUAUAUAUACACAUAUAUUCCUUGUCCAGGUGAGUAAAUAUGUCAAAUAUGUCAAAUCCACAUACAUCACAGUAUUCUGUAUAUUGUUGUUUUGAUAUCAUAUUUUCAUUUGUUUUUGCUUCUAGCUGGACAAAUCUUCCCUGGAUGGCAAUAUCUUUCUCAGUGCUACAACCUAGAGUCAUCUAAGGCAGUGGUUCUCAACCUGUGGGUCCCAAGGUGUUUUGGUCUACAACUCCCAGAAAUCCCAGCCAGUUUACCAGCUGUCAGGAUUUCUGGGAAUUAAAGGCCAAAACAUCUGGAGACCCACAGGUUGAGAACCACUGAUCUAAGGAAAUUAGAGAGCUGGCACUUUUCACACUGCACAUUUAGCACACAAAGAAGGAAAAGUGGCAUUAAAAUUCAACACUAUACACAUUUCUUUGCUGGUCUGCCUCUUCUCCAUGAAUAACAUGUUGCUCACUAUUGACAUGCAAAGUCCAUUAGUAGCUGCCAAUCCUGCAACAUUCCUGUCGAUUUCUUUGUGUGAUGGGGCUGUUCAGGUUUUGUGUCAGGACUACAAUAACAUCAAGAGGCAGGAUUCCCCUCUUCUUCAGAUUUUCCUUUGCUAUUUCAGAGCCAUUUUUAAAUUUUACUUUACUUUGAUUUUCUUAAUUAACCACCACUGGAAUUGCAAAAAUUGCUUAAAAUAAUAAGGAAAAUUGCAGAGCAGUCAUAAGACAGGAAGGCAGGGUUAUGAGGGUAUUUGGGAGUAAGAUAGCAGGGUCAUGGUUCAACAAAUCAGUGUUACUGCACAAAUGGAAAGAGAUGCAAGGAUGCUUGUGCCAGCAUGUGUCCGUUAUUGCUACUCACAGAACAGCUUCAUGAGAGAUAUUCCAUAUACUGCUACAAAAUAUAACGGGUUUUAGGCAAUGUAUACAAGUUAAAACUGAUACAACUGGGAAAGCCCCAUUAUCUAGAAAUCUGGAAUAUAAUUUAACCAUCAAUAAAAAUAGUCUAAAGCAUUGCCAUUAAAAAGAAGAAUGACAAAUAAAAACAGCACAGUUUAUGAAAGGCCCUUUCACCCAGGGCAGUCAGUCCUCAAGGGUCUGAUGAAACAAAAAUGUUUUCACCCAUUUAUAAAAGGAUAGAAAAUAAAAUGCCAUUCAAUUCUUUAUAGGAAAGGAGUUCCUAUGAAAUCUCAGGCUGGAUCUACACUGCCAUAUAAAAUCCAGAUUAACUGCUUUGACCUGGAUUAUAUGGCAGUGUAGACUCAUAUAAUUCAGUUCUAAGUAGAUAAUGAACCUUUGAGGGUAGUACAACAGAGCAAAUGUGUUCUAAGAUCUAUGAAAUCUUCAUAACUGGCUGAUCUCUGUGGGCAUUUUCUCACUGACACUAUAUGUCUGCAAUGUCAUUAAUGGUAUAAAAGGGCACAUAUUGUUCUGUCUGAAGUUUGUCUAGAUAGGUAUGGCACCUAUCUAGAUAGGUAUGUGCUUAGAUAAGCACAGAAGGGGGUGGGGAAUGAGUGGUAGGACACUCAGAGGAUGUUGAACUUAAGUGUCCCAGUACUGAUAAUGCUGGCCUGGGCUGGUGCAACAACACAACAUCUGAGAAUCAUACCUAUCUCGUGCCAUACCACAAGAUCCUUAUUUCAUGCUCCCAAUUUUGUAAUACUCUUAAUGGAUUGUAGGAACUGUUUCUGCCUUCUAUAACAAAUGAAAAUUUGUGAUGACUGUUUGGUUGGCACAUGAAAAACUUGCCUCAUCUUUGUCUCAGGAGAUUUCCACAGCUAAUAAUGAACGAAACUAAGCUUUCUCUAUGCUGUACAAUAACGUCGGAAGCGUAGCUCUAGUUUCAAAACCUGUGAUGUAUCUGUUGAAGACUUCAGUGGAAAAAGAUCUGAUCAAAAAUAUUAAAUGUGUAAAUAAAAAAUGAAGCCAUAAAUGACCACACAUCAUACAACAACAAAAAAAAAAUCCCACUGCACUCUGCACAGUGCAUUUAUGAUCUAUUUUUAGAAGUCUUUGCUUUUUAUGUGAUUCAGCAUGUUCUUGACUUAACUGUUGUUAGUGUAGACCCAUUUUAAAACCCAUUAGGUUCUACAAUAUUCACUUCAGCUGAAUUGCAUCUGUUCAGGCUUUAGUGUGUAAUACAAUGUCUUCCGAAUUCUAUGGGACUCAUGGUAUUCCUCUGAGCUGGAAAUCAUUUUGAAUGGCAAAAACAUUUCCAGGGGAAAAUGAGUUUGAUUCUUCAGCUUGAUUCUUCCUUGUCAUUUCAUUCUUGUGAUUCAAGAAUGAAAUAGCUAUGGAAUCAGUAUUUCAUGUCUUUGCACUUUUGACUUUAAAAAGUCAUUUCUUUUUAAACUAUUCUUAACUCAGGUUAGAAAUGCAGUACUCUGUAUCAGGUGUGGUUUGAGAGAGGAAUAGAGUUGUAUUUCUUAACUUCUUUUGUGACCAAAUCAACAAAACAUUUAAUUUCAGUUACCUGUAUUUAAAGUUAAUGGAAUUAAUUGUCUAUCUCCUGACUUCUAAUCCUGAAAAGAGGCAAAUUUCAGUUUUCAAGAAAAACUGAUAAUAUACAUUAUGAGUACAUUGAUAUUGUUAUAACGUUACCUUAUAUGCAAAAUUACAUAAAAUCUAUUAUGCAUAACCUAAUGCAUGUACUGUAUAUUCAGAACUCAGUUUCAUUGAGUUUUUCCCAACCUGGACUUUCCAGGUUACCAGAGAAGCCUGGCUGCAUGUGCAAGCCCUUUGAAGAAAACUUCUGAUGCAUCCAAAUGAUGUAUUGGGAGGUUGGACGUGACAGAAGUAUCAGAGCGGCUUUGCUAGGCACACGCAGCAGAAGUCGCUGACGAAGAAGCUCUGCAUAAAUAACGACGCUGCAGUCUUCGGUUAUCUAUCAAAAUGUUUACUUACUAAUGGAAAUCUCACAAGACGAUACACAGCUCUCACGCAGGCACACACGGGAAGGUGCAGAGAGAAAAAAAUAGGAAGUAGAGGGCUAUUUAUCUCAUCCUCUGCUGUCUGAUGCAAUCCAAGUUUAACCCUUUACACACUUGCAUAGUAGGCAGCACACAGUGUAUGAUGCAAUCUCCAGCUCACAUUGCACAACCAUGACUCAAUUACAUUUAAACAACUCUAUAUACAAUCAUUCUCACUUUAACAAGAAGCUGUCUUUGUGGGACCUAUAAAUGCAACCAGGUAAGUUUUUGGGGGCAGCUGGGAAGGGAGAGUGGGGGUGCCAGAGCCUGAAGAACCAGGAUGGCAAUGGGGAUUGACCCGGAAUCGUGGAACAUGGUCCUAGGAAUCUUCAUCACAAUUCCAGUUUACUCCAGAUUAAUUCAGGUUUAUCUGUGUUGUUUGGAUGCCUCAGGUAAACACAUGACCUGUCGUGGGUUAUGGGCCUGUGGUGUCGUGGCAGGGGUGAUUAUCCCAACAAAUAGCUCCUCUCCCUGAUUCCAUGAAUGCUCUGGGAUAGCAGCUUUGUGUGGUGAAGCCCUUAAUCUCUUUGAGCUGAGCUGUGUUUGCUUCUCAGUAGAUGUACAUAGGACCAUGUUCUUAUUUCUCAUUUGAAAAUUCCGAUAGUAUGAAAUACAUGGCUGUGCAGUUCAUAUGCAUUUUUGUACUACAUGUGGCUUUAUUCCUCAGAAGACCAAGUAGCUGCAUGAUAGAUAUUUCACAUUAAAAAGAUGCCUUUUGCACUUGAAGAGCUUACUGCAAACUCCUGUAGGGAUUAAAAGAUGACAAAGGGUUUAAAUUUAUAUAUCCUAAAAAGCCUUUCAUUUGACUCCAAAUUGAAGGAGGGAUUGAAGACUUUCUUACUGAUGCGAGGGCCGCGGGGGGGGGGGGGGUUCUUUCUUUUCUCUUUUUCUGGAUCACAGAUAUCUAGUCAAUGUCUUUUUGUUAAUAUCCAUCUGCAAAGGAUUCCAUAUGCAGUCAACUACUCUUGUGUUCUAUUUUUACAGCUUCAAGGGGCAUCCCAGCCAUGUGAAGUUGAAUCCUACUGUGCUGACAUUUGGCAGACUGCCAGCAUCAUUCUGCCUCUUUCUUGGACUAUGCUUUUUGAGAAGGAAUGCCAAUAGAUUGACUGGGGUGCUGGAUAGAACAGUUAAAAUGAUAAAUUAUUUGAAAGUCGAGGGAGAUAGGAAGAAAUUUAAAAGAUACCAGACAUGUUCAAUCUCGGAAGCCUAUCAGGCAUAAUGCAGAAGCUCUGGAGAACUCCCUGGUACAUCAACCUGGGAAGUAGGGAGUGCAUAUAUACUGUAGUAUUAAUGCAGUUUAAUACCACUUUAAAUGCCAUGGCUUAAUCAUCAGAAUAGUUUUACAAGGUCUUUUAACAUUUUCUGUCAAGUAGUUCUGAUGCCUCACCAUCCUACAACUCCCAUGAGCCAUGGCAGUUAAAGUGGUGUCAAAUUAGAUUACUUUGACAGAUUAGAUCAGGUAUAGUCCAACUUCAGCCCUUCAGGUGUUUUGGACUUCAACUCCAGCUGUUAAGAAUUGUGGGAGUUGAAGUCCAAAACACCUGGAGGCUGCCCAUGCUUAGUGUAGAUCAAUGAUUCCCAAAGUGGGCGCUACUACCUCCUGGUGGGUGCUGCAGCGAUUCAGGGGGACAGUGAUGGCACCUAUUAGGACACGGGGGUGGGGCCAGGGGAGGGGAGGGGCCUCUUCCCCAGUGCCGGAGACAGGGCUGAGCCCCUGAACCGUCUGUUAGGACACAGGGGGCGGAGCUAGAGGAGUGGGCAUGGCUUCUUCCCAAGAGCCCGAGACAGGGCUGAGCCUCUAUACCUUUCCUGAGAGUCCUUUUACGACUAAAGGGUGGGGUUAGGGGUGGGGGCGGUGCCUCUUCCCAAGAGCGCAAGGCAGGGCUGAGCCUCUGUAUACCUCUCCUGAGGCGCUUGUUAGAACACAGGGGCGGGGUAUAGAGGUUCAGCCCCAUCAGGCACUUGGGAAGAGGCCCCACCCCCUCCUCUAUCCCCGCCCCCUGUGUCAUGGCAGGUGCCACAGGACAUGGAUAGAAGCUCAGCCCUGCCUCAGAGCUCGUAACUCCGCCCAUCCCAGCCCUGGCCACCCAAUUGCAGCCCCGCCCACCUCCACCUCCCCCUCCCCCUCCCAGCCCUGCAUCUUGGACUAGGGAAGAGGCUCAGUCCUGCCCACUUGAGCAGGAGCCAUGCCCACCCCUCUAAGCCAUGCCCCCUUUCCAGGGGGAACUGAGUAAUAUUUUUUCUGGAAAGAGGGUGGUAGGCCAAAUAAGUUUGGGAACUACUGGUGUAGAUUCAUUAAAAAAAGCCAGGCCCAUUAUUAGGCAAAGUGAGACAGCAACCUCAACCGGUUGAUUAUGGAUGUGAUGAGAUAACAAUAAUUUGUUAGUUAUUUGAUAUAUUACUGUAGCAUUCUUAUAGCUCUGGAGAAGUUUUUGUGGAUUUUCUAUCAAAGUAAUUUGACAGGCUUUAGGUACUGUGCAACUUGAUUAACAAUACAGGGCGAGGAAGCCAGAAAUCAUUCGUAAGACAGAAAAAAUGUCUUGAGAUGGCCCUAGGUACAUAGAUACUUAGAGUACGAUGGAGGUGAAACAAGACUAGUAACAAAGAAUUAGGGUAUAUAUUUUCAUUUAAUAAAGAAGGAAGGUUAAACCACAUUGGGGCAUUUAAUUUCAAUGCUGAAAUGAAUGAAUGAAUGAAUGUGUAUAAAAUCUGAGACUCUCAUUCAUACCUAUUAAGGUCUCUCAUAAAUAUUUCAAUUUGGGGGGACUUAGUAAUUGCUUCCUGCCAUUUCAUUUAUGCUGCUACCUGCACUAGGAGCCCCCGUGGUGCAAUUGGUUAAACCCUUGUGCUGGCAGGACUGCUGACCAAAAGGUUGGUGGUUCAGAUCCAGUGAGCAGAGUGAGCCCCUAUCUGUCAGCUCCAGCUUCCCAUGAAGGGACAUGAGAGAAGCCUCCCAGAGGAUGGUAAAACAUCCAGGCAUCCCCUGGGCAACAUCCUUGCAGAUGGCCAAUUCUCUCACACCAGAAGAAACUUGCAGUUUCUCAAGUCGCUCCUGACACACACACAAAAACUCCCUGGACUGUUUGAGGGCAAAUAAAAAGGUAGGAAUAACAAAGAAUAGCUAAAAUGGCACAAUAAUUAACAUAACAUGUAGGUAAAAAUUACUAAUUAUUAAUUUGCAACAAGAACUCAAUACAAAGUGUUUAUAGUGCAUGCAUAUUUUUAAAUGGAAAAAAAAGAAGUGAGUCAUUUUUUUAAAAAAAUGCAUGUUGCGACAUGGAUGUAGCUCCAAGGUUCCAUGUUGUGAAAGCAAUAUUGAGCAUGAUGCUCAUGGGUUUGUUUGUUUUUUUGGGGGGGGGGGGAUGAGACUAGUAAAAGACUUACAUUUGGCCUUCAUUAUACAAAUCAUCUUUUUUAUUAAAAAAUAUGUUGGGGAUAUUUCCUUAAUUAAGAAUAUUUCUGCACAUCAUGAAGCCUAAUUAGCACAGCCAUUUGAAAAAAUAAGAUUAAGGGUGUUAUUUUUUCCAUUUUAUGCCUUUGCUUAUUCACCCUAGCAAGGAAGUGUUAUAAAUUAAUAAUAUGUAUAUACAUCAGAAUGAUAACUACUGUCGAUUUGUGAUAUCUAGUUUGUUAACAUUGCUUUUGUUCAUAAAUGUGUGAAAUUUCAUAUACAAAACAAAUUAACCAAAGAUUAAUGUAAUGCAGCUUUGAUUUAGUUCAAACUAAAACUUGCAGUUAUGAAACUUAUAUUUUUUGCUUGUAGGGAGAGGCAGGGAUGCCCUUUCCUGCUGAUAUCUACUGAUGUAGGGAAUAAAUAUCAGAUAUACAGGUAAAGGUUUUCCCCUGACAUUAAGUCAUGUCCGACUCUGGGGGUUGGUGCUCAUCUCUAUUUCUAAGUCAAAGAGUCAGCAUUGUCCGUAGACACCUCCAAUGUGGCCGGCAUGACUGCAUGAAGCACUGUUACCUAUUGAUCGAUUCACAUUUGCAUGUUUUCAAACUGCUAGGUUGGCAGAAGCUGGAGCUGACAGCAGGAGCUUAUCCCACUCCCUGGAUGUGAACUGGCAACCUUUCAGUCAGCAAGGUCUAACUGCCAGCUGCUGUCCACAGCUUCUGAUAGGAGAAUUUCCCAGGCCUAUCUGAAGAAGAUAACAACUCAACCUGAGAGAUUGUACAUGUAAAUACAUUCUGGACCACUGAACUGAGAGCAUUCCUCUACACAGUGCCAUGUCAGUGGGGCAGUGAAUCUCUUCUGGCUGCUAAACUAAAAUAUCCCAGCUGUUGAAUCUUUUUAGAGAUAGAUUUCAACUUCUUGGGUAACCCAUUAAAAUGUGAGCUAAAAGAAUUCAGUACUCUACUGACACAUAAGUUAAAAGUCAACACUGUCUGACAACUUUUCAGUACAUUUUCCUGUUCCAGGUUCACACUGAACUCCAUGUCAUGGUAUGAGGGUGUUGUUUUAAUGCAUUAGGUCAAGAUUCUACAUCACAGUCUGCAUUUGCAUAACUUUAAAGCUCCUUAGCUAAUGGCAAAAGCGCACCAGAUCCUGGUAGUGAUUUGCGCUUGUAUAUCUAGGAACCAGUCAGAGUGGACUGAUGCACAUUAGGCUCUUUUGCUGUGUUGGGCUCUUCUAAUGCACAAUUGGACAAUUCCGAUGUCCAUCUGGUCCCAUUGCCAGAGACAGCAACAACAAUCUUUUUCUGGGCACUUGACAUGAAGCAACAGAGUUGUGGUUUAUGGGAGUGUUGUUAUCUAUGCCUACUACCAUGUAUGUUUAUAAAUAAAUCCAAAUAUUAUUA